rnacentral:rRNA from 1 species
AUGCACGCUGGCGGCGUGCCUAAUACAUGCAAGUCGAGCGAACGGACGAGAAGCUUGCUUCUCUGAUGUUAGCGGCGGACGGGUGAGUAACACGUGGAUAACCUACCUAUAAGACUGGGAUAACUUCGGGAAACCGGAGCUAAUACCGGAUAAUAUUUUGAACCGCAUGGUUCAAAAGUGAAAGACGGUCUUGCUGUCACUUAUAGAUGGAUCCGCGCUGCAUUAGCUAGUUGGUAAGGUAACGGCUUACCAAGGCAGCGAUGCAUAGCCGACCUGAGAGGGUGAUCGGCCAAACGGGAACUGAGACACGGCCCAGACACCUAGGGAGGGCAGAAGAAGGGAAGUUUCCGAAAGGGGCGAAAGCCUGAGGAAGAAACGCGGGGUAGGGAAUGAGGGUCUUCGAACGGUAAAACUUUGUAAUAGGGAAGAACAUAUGUGUAAGUAACUGUGCACAUCUUGACGGUACCUAAUCAGAAAGCCACGGCUAACUACGUG